AAUAACAAAGACCGCGAAGUUUGCAAGAUGGCGGCAGUGUCCUCUUGAAAAAACGGCAAACUGGAGGCGUUGUUGUCGACUGGUAUGCCAUCGACAUUGGCGAGGGGGAUGCAACGUUUGCCCAGCUUUACGAGCGACUCGUGGCAGCCAGCGAGUAUCGCCCGGACAGACGUCCUUUCGAUGAGAGAAAUGGGAGCUGAGUUGAGGUGGCCUUUAGAGUGGGUCAGGCCACUUCUCAGCUCAGUUCGGCUGUUUUGUCCGUAUUGUUGUUGACAAAACUGCAACAACUAAAGCCGAAGAUUGUCAGCAGAAGUCAGCUUUUGAGGGCUCUUUCAUGUAGUGCACCAGGUGUAUUACUACUCUGCGCGAGUCAAGUCUAGGGCACUGACCAUUCUACCACUGGUAUGCUGGCAGUGUGGGGAAACAGACACGCUUCCUAUCCCUCCAGAGAAACUGCAGAGUUUCAGAGCAUUCAUACAGUGUGCCAGGUGUGCAAAGCCACUCGUGUUGAAGAGCGUACAAGAGUAAAGAGAAAGCUGGAGAGGAAGAGGUCUAGAGAGGAAGAAGAUGGACCACUAACUUUCAGGUGGG